GAUGAACGCUGGCGGCGUGCCUAAUACAUGAAGUCGAGCGAAUGGAUUAAGAGCUUGCUCUUAUGAAGUUAGCGGCGGACGGGUGAGUAACACGUGGGUAACCUGCCCAUAAGACUGGGAUAACUCCGGGAAACCGGGGCUAAUACCGGAUAACAUUUUGAACCGCAUGGUUCGAAAUUGAAAGGCGGCUUCGGCUGUCACUUAUGGAUGGACCCGCGUCGCAUUAGCGAGUUGGUGAGGUAACGGCUCACCAAGGCAACGAUGCGUAGCCGACCUGAGAGGGUGAUCGGCCACACUGGGACUGAGACACGGCCCAGACUCCUACGAGAGGCAGCAGUAGGGAAUCUUCCGCAAUGGACGAAAGUCUGACGGAGCAACGCCGCGUGAGUGAUGAAGGCUUUCGGGUCGUAAAACUCUGUUGUUAGGGAAGAACAAGUGCUAGUUGAAUAAGCUGGCACCUUGACGGUACCUAACCAGAAAGCCACGGCUAACUACGUGCCAGCCGCCGCGGUAA
rnacentral:rRNA from 1 species